rnacentral:rRNA from 1 species
AUUGAACGCUGGCGGCAUGCCUUACACAUGCAAGCCGAACGGUAACAGGCCUUCGGAUGCUGACGAGUGGCGAACGGGUGAGUAAUACAUCGGAACGUGCCUAGUAGUGGGGGAUAACUACUCGAAAGAGUGGCUAAUACCGCAUGAGAUCUACGGAUGAAAGCAGGGGAUCGCAAGACCUUGUGCUACUAGAGCGGCCGAUGGCAGAUUAGGUAGUUGGUGGGAUAAAAGCUUACCAAGCCGACGAUCUGUAGCUGGUCUGAGAGGACGAUCAGCCACACUGGGACUGAGACACGGCCCAGACUCCUACGGGAGGCAGCAGUGGGGAAUUUUGGACAAUGGGCGCAAGCCUGAUCCAGCAAUGCCGCGUGCAGGAUGAAGGCCUUCGGGUUGUAAACUGCUUUUGUACGGAACGAAAAGACUCUGGUUAAUACCUGGGGUCCAUGACGGUACCGUAAGAAUAAGCACCGGCUAACUACGUGCCAGCAGCCGCAGUAACAC